rnacentral:rRNA from 1 species
UUGAAUGGCUGCGGUAUUUUGACCGUACUAAGGUAGCAUAAUAAUUAGUUUUUUAAUUGAAAGCUGGUAUGAAUGGUUGGACGAGAGAAUGACUGUCUCAAUUUAAUUUAAUUAGAAUUUUAUCUUUAAGUAAAAAAGCUUAAAUAAAUUUAAAAGACGAGAAGACCCUAUAGAGUUUUAUAUUUUAUAGUUAUUAUGGAUUUGAAGGAUUUAGUAUUUAUUUAAUUAUAAAAUAUUUUGUUGGGGUGACAAAAAAAUUUAAAGAACUUUUUUUAUAUUAUUUCAUUGAUUUAUGAGUAAGUGAUCCAUAUUUUAUGAUUAAAAGAUUAAAUUACCUUAGGGAUAACAGC